rnacentral:misc_RNA from 1 species
UUAAGUUCAGCGGGUAUUCCUACCUGAUCCGAGGUCAACCUUGAUAAGUUUGGUGUUUUCACGGCCGGAACCCGCCGCCACGCCCGGAGAGAAGAAGAAUUACUGCACUCGGUGUGACAACGAGCCCGCCACUGCAUUUCGGGAGCUGCGGCAGCCGCAGGCCCCCAACACAAGCCGAGGGCUUGAUGGUUGAAAUGACG